AAUCUAUAUAAUAAUGCCAAUAAUGGAUGCCUAGGAGGCUUUGACCGAGGAAGGACGCAGACGGCGGCGAUACUCGUUGGGGAGGUGCCAUCAACCUUUGAUCCAGCGGUUUCCGAAUGGGGCAACCCGUCCGAUUUAUCGGACAACCAAGGAUGAACAAAUUUCCGCAAGGAAGUUAAUAACCCUUGGCUGGGAACGGCGUGAACUGAAACAUCUUAGUAACGCUAGGAAAAUAAAUCAUUAGAGAUUCCGUCAGUAGCGGCGAGCGAAAGCGGAACAGCCUAAACCACUAGUAAUAGUGGUGUUGCAGGGCAGACGAUAUUCGAUGAAAGUUAGAUAGCAGAAGAGUCCGGAAUGGCUCACCACAGAACGUGAUAGUCGUGUAAGCGAAAUUUAACUUUCCGAUAGUUUGUUCCUAAGUACCAUGGGGUACGAUGAAACCCUGUGGGAAUCUGGGGCGGCCACGCUCCAAGGCUAAAUAUCAAAGUCUACCGAUAGUGAACUAGUACCGUAAGGGAAAGGUGAAAAGCACCCCGGGAGGGGAAUGAAAUAGAUCUGAAAUUAUUGGCUAACAAGCAGACAAAGUGCAAUUUAUUGUAUGAUGUCGUGCCUAUUGAAGAAUGAAC
rfam:Candidatus Levybacteria bacterium RIFCSPHIGHO2_01_FTLL_37_17 rifcsphigho2_01_scaffold_35, whole genome shotgun sequence.